rnacentral:rRNA from 1 species
GUGUUACUGACGCUGAUGCUCGAAGGUGCGGGUAUCAAACAGGAUUAGAUACCCUGGUAGUCCGCACGGUAAACGAUGGAUGCUCGCGAUGCGCCCCAUUGGGGUACGUCGCCAAGCGAAAGCGUUAAGCAUCCCACCUGGGGAGUACGCCGGCAACGGUGAAACUCAAAGGAAUUGACGGGGGCCCGCACAAGCGGAGGAACAUGUGGUUUAAUUCGAUGAUACGCGAGGAACCUUACCCGGGCUUGAAAUGUACCUGACGGGACGCAGAGACGCGUCCUUCCUUCGGGCAGGUAUGUAGGUGCUGCAUGGUUGUCGUCAGCUCGUGCCGUGAGGUGUCGGCUUAAGUGCCAUAACGAGCGCAACCCUUAUCGCUGGUUACCAUCAAUUCGGUUGGGGACUCCAGCGACACUGCCAUCGCAAGAUGUGAGGAAGGCGGGGAUGACGUCAAAUCAGCACGGCCUUUACGUCCGGGGCUACACACGUGUUACAAUGGCGGGGCAACAGAGGGAAGCCAGGCGGCGACGCCGAGCGGAUCCCGAAAACCCGUCUCAGUUCGGAUCGGAGUCUGCAACCCGACUCCGUGAAGCUGGAUUCGCU